GGUGUGGAUCCGUAGCCUCUGGAAGGUUAACAAAGACUUUCCACACCCCGCUUCGACUCAAUACAUCCCCGGUGUACAGAACGG
rnacentral:ribozyme from 1 species